CCACCACCACGACAGUUAGGUUGUGGAGGCCAACUGCGGCGACGUGAGGGAAACCGGUGCAAUCCCGGUGCGGUCGCGCCACUGUGAACUGCCAUCAACGGCAGUAAGCCAGGACGCUCACCCGUCCGCAGCUCGAUGA
rnacentral:ncRNA from 2 species